rnacentral:rRNA from 1 species
UACGAAGGGGGCUAGCGUUGCUCGGAAUCACUGGGCGUAAAGCGCACGUAGGCGGACUCUUAAGUCAGGGGUGAAAUCCUGGAGCUCAACUCCAGAACUGCCUUUGAUACUGAGAGCCUUGAGUUCGGGAGAGGUGAGUGGAACUGCGAGUGUAGAGGUGAAAUUCGUAGAUAUUCGCAAGAACACCAGUGGCGAAGGCGGACUCACUGGCCCGAUACUGACGCUGAGGUGCGAAAGCGUGGGGAG